CUUUACGGCCAUACCAACCUGGCUAUGCCCGAUCUCGUCGCUCUCGGAAGCUAAGCAGGUUUGGGCCUGGUUAGUACUUGGAUGGGAGACCGCCUGGGAAUACCAGGUGCUGUAAGCU
rnacentral:rRNA from 1 species